UACGGCCAUAACACUUUGAAACAUCGGUUCUUGUACGAUCACCAAAGUUAAGUAAAAUCGAACUUGGUCAGUAUCCAGAUGGGUGACCGCUUGGGAAACCCAGGUGCUGUCA